rnacentral:rRNA from 1 species
GUAUGAACGGCACAAUGAGGGCCCAACUGUCUCCUCUGACCAAUCAAUGAACCUGCUCUUCCAGUACAAAAGCUGGAAUAACCACAUAAGACGAGAAGACCCUGUGGAGCUUAAAAUAUUAGUGUUAUACACAUCACUAACCAAUCGGCCCACAAUAUAAACAUAGCACACAUUUUUGGUUGGGGCGACCGCGGAACAAAAUAAAACUUCCACUUUCACGGCCCACUAGGCCACACCAGGUCAACAAACCAAUCACCACUUGACCCAGCAAUGCUGACCAACGAACCAAGUUACCCCAGGGAUAACAGCGCCAUCCCCUUCAAGAGCCCAUAUCGCCAAGGGGGUUUACGACCUCGAUGUUGGAUCAGGGCCCCCAGGUGGUGCAACCGCUACCAAAGGUUCGUUUG